AUUGAACGCUGGCGGCAGGCCUAACACAUGCAAGUCGAGCGGAUGAAGGGAGCUUGCUCCUGGAUUCAGCGGCGGACGGGUGAGUAAUGCCUAGGAAUCUGCCUGGUAGUGGGGGAUAACGUCCGGAAACGGGCGCUAAUACCGCAUACGUCCUGAGGGAGAAAGUGGGGGAUCUUCGGAACUCACGCUAUCAGAUGAGCCUAGGUGGGAUUAGCUAGUUGGUGGGGUAAAGGCCUACCAAGGCGACGAUCCGUAACUGGUCUGAGAGGAUGAUCAGUCACACGGGAACUGAGACACGGUCCAGAGUCCUACGGGAGGCAGCAGUGUGGAAUAUUGGACAAUGGGCGAAAGCCUGAUCCAGCCAUGCCGCGUGUGUGAAGAAGGUCUUCGGAUUGUAAAGCACUUUAAGUUGGGAGGAAGGGCAGUAAGUUGAUACCUUGCUGUUUUGACGUUACCAACAGAAUAAGCACCGGCUAACUUCGUG
rnacentral:rRNA from 1 species